rnacentral:tRNA from 1 species
GUUCUUGUAGUUGAAUAACAACGAUGAUUUUUCAUAUCAUUAGUCGUGGCUAAUUUCCAUGCAAGAAUA